UCCAGACUCCUACGGGAGGCAGCAGUGAGGAAUAUUGGUCAAUGGCCGAGAGGCUGAACCAGCCAAGUCGCGUGAGGGAAGACGGCCCUACGGGUUGUAAACCUCUUUUGUCGGGGAGCAAAGCGAGUCACGUGUGACUCAUUGAGAGUACCCGAAGAAAAAGCAUCGGCUAACUCCGUGCCAGCAGCCGCGGUAAUACGGAGGAUGCGAGCGUUAUCCGGAUUUAUUGGGUUUAAAGGGUGCGUAGGCGGGUUAUCAAGUCAGCGGUAAAAUCGUGGAGCUCAACUCCAUCCAGCCGUUGAAACUGGUUUUCUUGAGUGAGUGAGAAGUAUGCGGAAUGCGUGGUGUAGCGGUGAAAUGCAUAGAUAUCACGCAGAACUCCGAUUGCGAAGGCAGCAUACCGGCGCUCAGCUGACGCUCAUGCACGAAAGUGUGGGUAUCGAACAGGAUUAGAUACCCGAGUAGC
rnacentral:rRNA from 1 species